AUGGAUAUCUCGCUCGCGUACGCCGUCUUCGGCGCGCGCCACGCGUCCACCGCCCAUGCCUUAUCCACCCACCCACCGCCCACCGCCCACCGCCCAUGCCUUAUCUUCUUUUGCUUCGGUCUUCUUCUUCUCCCCUCCACCAAAUCAGCCGAGCCCCUUCUCUCCUCCAUCAAAUCGGGGGAGGAAACGACGGCGACCACCGCAGCUAGCAUCUCUGUCGCAGCAGUUGCGUUGCGUCGCCCGUCGCGUGCUUCAUCGGAGCACCCGGGUCGCCGUCGCAGCGCAGACGGCGCCACCGCGUGCGCGUGGCGGUGCUGCAGUGGAGCGCUUGUCGCCGGCUCCCGGUGCUGUGGCGCGGCGCUCGCACGGUGGACUGGAGCUCGGUGCUGCAAGGAAGCUUCACUGGCGGCGCCCGAAGCACCCCGUCGCCAUCGCAGCUGCAUACGCCGCGGUGUUGCAAUGGAGCGGUCGGCGGCGGCUCCCGGUGGUGCGAUGCAGCGCUUGCGCGGCGGCCCGGAGCUCCGUGCUGCAACGGUGCGUCGCCGGCGGCUGCAAUGGAGCUUCACCUGCGAAGCCCAGAGCUGUGAAGCAGCGCCCGGCGCUCCAAUGGAGCUUCACCGGCGAGCCCGGAGCUGCUCUGCAGCGGGUCGUGCGGCGUUGGAGCUCCGCCGGGGCUGCAAUGGAGCUCAGCCGGGGUUGCAAUGGAGCCGCCGGAGCUGCAGUGAAGCACGGCGAAGGGUCGUCAAGAUUUCGUCGGGGUUGCAAUGGAGCCGCCGGAGUUGCAGUGAAGCGCGCCGGAGCUGCAAUGGAGCCGCCGGAGCUGCAGUGAAGCGCGCCGGAGCUGUAGUGGAGCAUGCCGGAGGUUGUCGAAACUUCGUUGAGGUUGCAAUGGAGCGCCGGCGGCUCCCGGUGCUGCAUCGCAGCGUCGCCGGCGGCUACAUGCGGCGGUGGGUGCUGCUAUGGAGCGCUCGCCCAGCGACACCUGAUCCUGCGAUGGACAGCUCGUCGGGGUCUCGUGCGUGCUUGGAGAUCAAAGCAGAGCAGAGACUGGGUGGUGCGAUGCAAGGAGAAGAAGGUGUGGCGUUGACAUAUCUAAGAGCUGAGAGAAACAGAUCGGAGGGCUGGCAACCCGACUGA
rnacentral:rRNA from 1 species